rnacentral:lncRNA from 1 species
AAAACAAAAAUAUUUAUUGCAAAGUAUAUAAAAGCGAGGAUUAAAAAUAAUGUUUUUAGGUCUUUUUACGUCUCAUAAAUGUGCCAAAAACAGUGCUAUAGUGAAAAUAAUUCAUGUUAAACGAAAUUAUAUGAUAAAGUAAAAAAUACCAAUAUUCCUAUUAUGUAAUUAUUAAUAUUUUUAAAUCACUAGGUAUUGGUUUGCAAUGCACAUUGAUUUUAAAAUGAUAUGCAUAAAUAAGUAGUACCCCAGGAAACGAAGCUGAAAAAGCACUUGAGAAAUAGAAAAAUUACUGCCCCCUAUUUUUUUUUCAACUGGAAUAUCUGCUGGGCAUCAAUAGAAAAGGCGUACCAUCCAGUGGCGGCUCGUGAUUUUUACAAUAGGGGAGGCUAUAACUAUAAAAUAUCUAGACAAAUUUACACUAGCA